AUUGAACGCUGGCGGCAUGCUUUACACAUGCAAGUCGAACGGCAGCACGGGGGCAGCCCUGGUGGCGAGUGGCGAACGGGUGAGUAACAUAUCGGAACAUAUCCGCAAGUGGGGGAUAACGUAGCGAAAGUUACGCUAAUACCGCAUAUACCCUGAGGGGGAAAGGAGGGGAUCGCAAGACCUUUCGCUUACGGAGUGGCCGAUAUCAGAUUAGCUAGUUGGUGGGGUAAAGGCCCACCAAGGCGACGAUCUGUAGCGGGUCUGAGAGGAUGAUCCGCCACACUGGGACUGGGACACGGCCCAGACUCCUACGGGAGGCAGCAGUGGGGAAUUUUGGACAAUGGGCGCAAGCCUGAUCCAGCCAUGCCGCGUGAGUGAAGAAGGCCUUCGGGUUGUAAAGCUCUUUCAGCCGGAAAAAAAUCGCACUAUCUAAUACAUAGUGUGGAUGAUGGUACCGGAAGAAGAAGCACCGGCUAACUACGUGCCAGCCGCCGCAGUAAUAC
rnacentral:rRNA from 1 species